CCCAACCUCUUCGAGUCCUCCGCGGGCUCCGCCCCACCCGGCUAGUGGGGGAGGUUCUGUCCCGCAGCCUUCGCGGGCGCGCUGCUCUCGGGGACGGUUCCUGCUCGCGUUGGGCGCACUAUGGCGCGCUGGGCUGCUGCUCCUCGGCCUGCUCCGCCCUCUGGUGGCCGCCCCUGGUGACCCAGCACCCCUUGAUCCCCCCAAACCAAAGCCAGAUCCAAACCCCAACUGACCUGGUUUCACUGGGGCUGACUUUGACUUAGCAGAUGCCUUUGGUGGUGGAGGAAACCGUGACCCAGCACCGCCUGAUCCCCCAAACCAAAGCCAGAUCCAAGCCCCAACCGACCUGGUUUCACUGAUAAGAGCCUCUAACCCUCCGGGUGGUCUCUAUGUCGUUUACCCGGCAGUGAUGUUCAUGUCAUCUGAGAAGAGGAGAUUUCAGGGGCUGACUUGGACUUCGCAGAUGCCUUUUAUGGUGGAGGAAAUCACAGUCACAAUUGCAACUCUCAUUGUCACAAAGAGAUGACCCAGCACCUCCUAAUUCACCCAAGCCGAAGCCAAAUGCAAACCCUAAGCAACCUGGAUUUAUUGUCAUUUGACACUCCUCUCUGUGUCAGUGUCUGAGGCACCCUGGGACCAUCCUGACUGGAAAGCACAGUGACAUUGCUGGCCUGAGCUGAAGUGCUGAUUAAAAUAAAUUGAAAGCUGAAUGACCUUAUGAAGAGCUGCUUUACCCAGGAACAAAUAUGGAGAGGAACUCCUUGCAACUGUGUUCUCAAGUAGACCACUUUUGAGAAAUUAUACAUUUAUCAUAACACCUCAAGUCCUGCUCUGCAUAGAAUGACCAUUAUUAUCAAGAAAAGUUCUCCAUUCCCUGUGAUUCAUAAGGAAGUGCAGGCCUAACCAGAAAACAGGAGCUGCGACAACCUUGGGUCAGACACAUUCAAUCUCUCUAUUCACAGUUGCAUUUUCUCUCUCUCUCUCUCUCUCUUUCUUUUUUUUUUUUUAACAAAGCCAAUUACCAAUAACUGGGAAAAACAAAAACAAAAACAAAAAAAAUGAACAUAUGGUUGAGCUGACUUCUGAGAAAGCUUCUGCAUUGUGAAUGUGAGGAUUCCACAUUUCUGAAGCACCUUUGCUCCUCCAGAAAGCGCCUCUCUAGUUUCGUGGUGAUACGGAGGGAAACGACAAUUGUCUGGAUUAUCAGGAUGGCCCAUUGUUCUCUGUGGUUCUCAAUCCAUGUGGACAUCCACCAUGACCAAGCUCUUUCUUUCUUUUCUCUCUUUCUUUCUCCUCUCUCCUUCCUUCCUUCCCCCUUCCCCUUCCCCUCCCCUCUUUCCCUUUCCUUUACCUUGUUUCUUGCUUGUUUCUUUCUCUCUUCCCUUCCCUCCUCUCCCCUCCUCCCUUUCUUCCCUCCCCUCCGUUUCUCUCCUCCCCUCCCCUCCUCCCUUUCUUCCCUCCCCUCCCUUUCUCCCCUCCCCUUCUCCCUUUCUUCCCUCCCCUCCCUUUGUCCCCUCCCCCCACCUCCCCCUUCCCCUCCCCUUCCUUCUCCCCUUCCUUUUCCCCUCUACUUCCCCCUCCACUCCCUUCCGCUCCCCUCCCCCUUCCCUUCUCUUUUCUUUUCCUUUCUUUUCUUUUUUUGAGACAGGAUAUCACUCUGUUGCCCAGACUGGAGUACAGUGAAGUGAUCGUGGCUCACUGUAGCCUCGACCUCCUGGGCUCAAGCCAUGCUCUUUCCUCAGCCUCCUGAGUAGCUGGGACUACACACACACACAACCAUGCCUGCCUACUUUUUUAAAUUUUUAUAUUUUUUUGAGACAGGGUUUCAUGCAGGUUUUCAUGCCCAGGCUAGAGUGCAGUGGUACAAUCUUUUGGCUCACUGCAACCUCUGCCUCCUGGGCUAAAGCGAUAUUCCUACCUUGGCCUCCCAAGUAGCUGCGACCACAGGCACUAGCCACCACAUUCGGCUAUUUGUUUAUUUUUUUUUAAAGACACAAGGUUUUACCAUGUUGUCCAGGCUGGUCUCAAACUCCUGAGCUCAAGCGAUACACGCGCGUCAGCCUCCCAAAGUGCUGGGAUCACAGGCAUGAACCACCGUGCCCAGCCUGGUUAAUGUUUAAAUGUUUCCUGGAGAUGGGGCUUCACUGUAGUGCAGGCUGGUCUUGAACUCCUGGGUUCAAGUGAUCCUCCCACACUCAGAGAUACUAUUUUCUUUUCUUGCUUUUUUUUUUUUUGAGAGGGGUCUUGCUCUUGUCCCCCAGGCUUGAGAGCAGUGGCUCGAUCUCAGCUCACUGCAACCUCCACCACCCAGGAUCAAACGACUCCCCUGCCUCUGCCUCCCAAGCAGCUCAACUUCAGCACCUCAUUCUUUGUCUAAGCCAAGUUUAGCCGAAGAAAACACCUGCCGAGAAGGUAAAAACAAAAACAUCUGCCAAAGGCAAGAACCCGGUGGGAAGCCCCCUGAGCCCAGGGGCCUGCAGAGUCUGUUCUGGUGACAAAGCAGGCAGUUGGAAGAGAGCAGGGCUGCGAGACAGCGUGGGUGGGUUUUAUCUGCUGCUUUUGGAAAUUCAUUGCAUGAUGCGUUUGUUUUUCAGAGGUCCCAAAGCAAAGAAACAAAAGCCCCGCAGAGUUCACCCAGAAGGAAAGCCUUCAUUGGAUCAGGCUAUAAGAGGACUCUCCCCUGAGAAAGAUACUUAUUUUGGCGCUGUGUUUAGAGAAAAGGGAAGAACGAUGGCUUUCCCGUAGAAACAUUUACUUAUUUCAUGAUUUGAAAAUGGACUUUUAUGUUUUAGGAAUUAUGUGGAUGGGAUGUUUUCUUGGGUGAUAGGAUUUGAAAUUGCAGAGGGGAGCAGGUGCCAUGUGCCAGCAAUGGCCGGCCAGUCUGCCUGCCUUCCUGCCUGCCUCCCUCCCUCCCUCCCUCCCUCCAUUUCUCCUUCCCCCCACCCCGUUUCUUCCUUCUUUCUCUCUGUGUUUCUUCUUUCUUUUCUUUUCUUCUUCCUCCCUCCCUCCCUCCCUCCCUUCCUUCCUCCCUCUCUCUCUCUCUCUUUCACUUUGUUUGUUUUAAUGAGAGUAGAGAGGAGGAAAAACACUUUUUUUUUUUUGAGACGGAGUCUCGCUCUGUCCCCCUGGCUGGAGUGCAAUGGCGCGAUCUCGGCUCACUGCAAGCUCCGCCUCCCGGGAUCAUGCCAUUCUCCUGCCUCAGUCUCCUGAGUAGCUGGGACUACAGGCGCCCGCCACCACGCCCAGCUAAUUUUUUUGUAUUUUUAGUAGAGACGGGGUUUCACCGUGUUAGCCAGGAUGGUCUCGAUCUCCUGACCUUGUGAUCCGCCCACCUCGGCCUCCCAAAGUGCUGGGAUUACAGGCGUGAGCCACCACGCCCAGCUGGAAAAACACUUUUUAUUUUUUGUCUACCUUUAUUGUAAGGAGAGAGUGAGAAUACCAUGCCACACAUGCAGGGUUCUGAGCAGAGGGCUACACCGUGCUUAGUUCUAAAGGCACCUACACUUUUAUCAUGAAAGCCAUGGAGAGGCCCACAUUUUGAAACACUCAGUCUCUCAGAAGAGGAUAGAAUGGGCUGCCAGUGUGAUAGGGAGAGAAAUUGAACAUAGCUGACUCCAUCUUGCUUCUGACUCCUCAAGCUAACUGCUCUUAGGCACUUCUGCACAUGGGCCAAGUUAAUCAUGGAAAGAACUUAGAUUACAGUUUAACUGGAAAGCAAGGAUGAUAAGAAUUCCUUUCCAAAACUAACCUCUGAGGAGAUAAGAAGGGCAUGCAUACAAGUAGCAAUGUUGUCUUGAAGAUUUGUAGGAGCACUGUGACCUGAGCAAGGACAAGGAAGUUUUGCAAUCUCCUUGGGCCCCUGCUGAUGCCCAAGUGUCUGUGGUCACCAGCCAACCCCCUCACCUCAGCCUCCUCCUUGUUCCCCCUUCUCAAUGUACAAAGAAGUUUGAGAUUCAUGCCUUUAAAAAUGGUUCCUUAGGACAUGGGUCCAGUAUCUUCCUGACUGGCUGGCUCUCCAAAUAAAGAUGCUUUUCUUUUUCUAACUUCUUGUCUCUCGAAUGAUUGGCUGUUAUGCAGCGAACCUCAGGAACUUUGGACUCCACAGCACUAGGACCACUCUCAGGACUUCCAGUCUGUACUGGGUGCAGGAAUCACUGGGGAGUCGGACUGAAAUGCAGGAAUCACUGGGGAGUCGGACUGAAAUGCGGGAAUCACUGGGGAGUCGGACUGAAAUGCGGGAAUCACUGGGGAGUCGGACUGAAAUGCGGGAAUCACUGGGGAGUCGGACUGAAAUGCGGGAAUCACUGGGGAGUCGGACUGAAAUGCGGGAAUCACUGGGGAGUCGGACUGAAAUGCGGGAAUCACUGGGGAGUCGGACUGAAAUGCGGGAAUCACUGGGGAGUCGGACUGAAAUGCGGGAAUCACUGGGGAGUCGGACUGAAAUGCGGAAAUCACUGGGGAGUCGGACUGAAAUGCGGGAAUCACUGGGGAGUCGGACUGAAAUGCGGGAAUCACUGGGGAGUCGGACUGAAAUGCAGACUCUGAUUAAGGAGGCCUGGGACACGAGGCCUGAGAUUCUGCAUCUCCAGUAAGCACCCAGGGGAUGUUGCUGCUGCUGAUCCAGGGACCACACCUUGGAGAGCAACGCUGAGAAGCUGGCGGAAGAGCCCCGGCUGAUGAGGAUCUGAACAUUGUCCGUAGCAGGGAGGCUGGGAAAAUGAGAUAAAAAUGUUAAAAAUGGCAGAGUCACCUUCCUGGAGAAGAAAUGGCUUUUCCAUUCCUUAUUACGCUCAUGUCUUUGCAACUAGCCCCCAGUGGUCUCCUUCCUGCUAUAUACCUGCAGUUACCGUGUUCUUGUUAAGGAAGAAUUGCAAAUGAAAAAAAAAAAAAAGACGCGGUGGCUCAAGCCUGUAAUCCCAGCACUUUGGGAGGCCGAGACGGGCGGAUCACGAGGUCAGGAGAUCGAGACCAUCCUGGCUAACACGGUGAAACCCCGUCUCUACUAAAAAAUACAAAAAACUAGCCGGGCGAGGUGGCGGGCGCCUGUAGUCCCAGCCACUCGGGAGGCUGAGGCAGGAGAAUGGUCUAAACCCGGGAGGCGGAGCUUGCAGUGAGCUGAGAUCCGGCCACUGCACCCCAGCCUGGGCGACAGAGCAAGACUCUGUCUCAAAAAAAAAAAAAGAAAAAAAAAAGAAAAAAAAAAAAAGGAAGUUGAUCAUGUUUGGUUGCUUUUGGUCAUGUUUGGUCAUCACAAUAAGCAAAUAAAAUCUGAAAUU
rnacentral:lncRNA from 1 species